CAGCACCUGAUAAAGCAUUUGCCUAUAUCAAUUUAGGGCAUGGGAGUAACCAGAAGAUGUUAGAAAGCUAUUAGAAACUCUCUGAUGAAAAUUAAACCAUACGACGAAAAAAAUAACAUUUUACAAUACUCUGAGUUCUCCUGACCCAGUGCUGUAAUUCAUACCUUUGACUGUAGGACUGCCUUGAACUGGAAUUAUUUAUACUAUCUGGAAGAAAAGCUGGAACAUGGCAUUGUUGAUAUUAUCUGGAAAAAGAUGGCUUUAAGCUGUAUCCUGAAAAAGUUAGGAAAAUAUUCUGCCAGAACGCUUAAAAGGUCCUGGAGUGGGCUACAAGCAAUUCAACUUAUCAUUGCUUGAAGACUUAAAGAUGCUCCUUUAUUGAGACAGAACCGUGCGCUUGAUCCAAGUGCAUGGGCUUCACAAGCCACAGUUUGAGGUCCGUUGAUCCACAGCAAACAUACAUCAAGUAAAAAAGAUAUAAAAUAAGAACA